rnacentral:rRNA from 1 species
UAGGGAAUCUUCCGCAAUGGACGAAAGUCUGACGGAGCAACGCCGCGUGAGUGAAGAAGGAUUUCGGUUCGUAAAACUCUGUUGUUAGGGAAGAAAAAAUGUAUAGUAACUAUAUACAAAAGAGACGGUACCUAACCAGAAAGCCACGGCUAACUACGUGCCAGCAGCCGCGGUAAUACGUAGGUGGCAAGCGUUGUCCGGAAUUAUUGGGCGUAAAGCGCGCGCAGGUGGUUUAGAAAGUCUGAUGUGAAAGCCCACGGCUCAACCGUGGAGGGCCAUUGGAAACUAAUAAACUUGAGUGCAGGAGAGAAAAGUGGAAUUCCUAGUGUAGCGGUGAAAUGCGUAGAGAUUAGGAGGAACACCGGUGGCGAAAGCGGCUUUUUGGCCUGCAACUGACACUGAGGCGCGAAAGCGUGGGGAGCAAACAGG